GUGCUUGCUUUGACAGCACGCAUAUUAAAAUUGGAACAAUACAGAGAAUAUUAGCAUGGCCCUUACACAGGAUCACACACAAAUUUGUGAAGUAUUCCAUAUUUUU